GACGAACGCUGGCGGCGUGCUUAACACAUGCAAGUCGAACGGAAAGGCCCUGCUUUUGUGGGGUGCUCGAGUGGCGAACGGGUGAGUAACAAGUGAGUAACCUGCCCUUGACUUUGGGAUAACUUCAGGAAACUGGGGCUAAUACCCGAUAGGAGCUCCUGCUGCAUGGGGGGGGUUGGAAAGUUUCGGCGGUUGGGGAUGGACUCGCGGCUUAGCAGCUUGUUGGUGGGGUAGUGGCGUACCAAGGCUUUGACGGGUAGCCGGCCUGAGAGGGUGACCGGCGUCAUUGGGACUGAGAUACGGCCCAGACUCCUACGGGAGGCAGCAGUGGGGAAUAUUGCACAGUGGGCGGAAGCCUGAUGCAGCAACGCCGCGUGCGUGAUGACGGCCUUCGGGUUGUAAACCGCUUUCGCCUGUGACGAAGCGUGAGUGACGGUAAUGGGUAAAGAAGCACCGGCUAACUACGUG
rnacentral:rRNA from 1 species